rnacentral:rRNA from 1 species
UGGGGAAUAUUGCACAAUGGGCGCAAGCCUGAUGCAGCGACGCCGCGUGCGGGAUGGAGGCCUUGGGUUGUAAACCGCUUUUGUUCAAGGGCAAGGCAGGCUUUCGGGCCUGUUGAGUGGAUUGUUCGAAUAAGCACCGGCUAACUACGUGCC